rnacentral:rRNA from 1 species
UAGGGAAUCUUCCACAAUGGGCGAAAGCCUGAUGGAGCAACGCCGCGUGUGUGAUGAAGGCUUUCGGGUCGUAAAGCACUGUUGUAUGGGAAGAACAGCUAGAAUAGGAAAUGAUUUUAGUUUGACGGUAUCUUACCAGAAAGGAACGGCUAAAUACGUGCCAC